rnacentral:rRNA from 1 species
UACAGAGGGGGCAAGCGUUGUUCGGAAUUACUGGGCGUAAAGGGCGCGUAGGCGGCCUGUUAAGUCGAACGUGAAAUCCCCGGGCUCAACCCGGGAACUGCGUCCGAUACUGGCAGGCUUGAAUUCGGGAGAGGGAUGCGGAAUUCCAGGUGUAGCGGUGAAAUGCGUAGAUAUCGGGAGGAACACCAGUGGCGAAGGCGACUUCCUGGCCUGUUCUUGACGCUGAGGCGCGAAAGCUAGGGUAGCAAACGGG